CAGUUUGGAUUUUCCUACCCCAUCACUGGUGUCUGUGGCAGUUUCUGCUCAUGGGUUUCUGCUCUGUUAAGUUGUGAUUCUCCGUAUCCAGCCUGUCUCCAAUUUUUGAGGCAACAGUUUGCCCUGUUUUAUCACCACUCAAGAGGAUGGAUACCCAGUAUGAAGGUCUCCAGGUCAAAUUGAAAAUUUGUUCUAAACUGAAACUGGAUUUUGACUUCUGUACAUCCAUCUUAUGCCUGCAAUUUGGACUGGCACAGAAGCGGGGAGUAGUUGGCAUGAAAUAAAUAAGAUUAGCCCAGUGAUUUUUAUUUCUUUAGUUUCAGAAAAUAAACCGACUUCUUUACUGUGUAAGAAAGAGCUCCUUGACCAUUAGCUUUGUAUUCCACAACUCCCUAUACUUUAAUACUUAAAGACCAUCACAGCCAAGAUUUUCCUGACAUGUCAUUUUCAUCUAAAUAAGUCUUUGGGAACUGCUUUUUUUUUUUUUUUUCAUUGUUUGUUUUUCUCUUAUCCCUCUCCCUACUAUCUAUCUAUCUAUAGACUUGAAGUGAAAAAAACCUAAAUAUAUGAUCCUU
rnacentral:lncRNA from 1 species